CUGCACCAGUGUUGGGUGGGGAGGAUGCUGGUCACGGCAGCAUGGGAACCUAGUGCAAUUGGGCCUUUGCUGUUGCCCAGCUUUUCACAGCUCCAGAAACUGACCCUCAUCCACUGGAAGUCGCAGGUGCAUGCAGUUUUGAAGGUGAGAGCUAGAAGUUGGCCUGCAUACCAGCUGUGUACUUGGAGGGAGUACCCAGUGCUGCCCCACAGCAUGCCCACCUGCCUGCUUGGAUCUCUUUUCCUGUUUUCAUCUCUGGUAGGGGGUGGUGGGAGGUAGGGCACCCAGGUAGGCCUCACUUUGAAGAAUGCAGGUCAUAACAGGGGUCAUAGAGUGGGUUGGCAUGGCCAUCAUUGUCUUUCCUGUGGACAUUCACCUACCUUACCCCCAACCCAGGCGGUCUUUAUUUUCCCACAGCUGGUCAGUGAGUUCUGCCCUCGGCUCACCUUUCUCAAGCUUUCAGACUGCCACAGUGUGACCACGGAUGCUCUCGUCAUGCUAGCCAAAGCCUGCCACCAGCUCUACAGCCUGGAUCUACAACACUCCAUGGUGAGCCCUGUGUCCCAAGGGACUCCGAAGAAGCCUAGGUAGAGGUGACAAGUAGCUCUGUGUUGGGUCCCCAGGUGGAGUCCACAGCUGUGGUGAGCUUUCUGGAGGAGGCUGGACCCCGAAUGCGCAGGCUGUGGCUGACCUAUAGUUUCCAGACAACAGCCAUCUUGGGUGCACUACUGGUAGGCUGGUGACGGGCAGGAGCAGAGCCAAAUGCUAAACGGGGGAGUGCCAGGCUGGUGACCCAGGUAUACUCUACCACUCCUGCAGGGUAGCUGCUGCCCCAAGCUCCAGGUCCUGGAGCUAAGCACCGGCCUCAACCGCAACAACACUCCUCUGCUGCUGCCUAUUGAGGUUCUUCAGAAAGGCUGUCCCCAGCUGCAGGUACCUGAUGACUUGCUUCUUACACCUGCCACCCUAUCCCCACCUGCAGCCUGAGCCUUGUCCCCAGGUACUGCGGCUGCUGAAUUUGAUGUGGCUGCCCAAGCCUUCUGGGCGAGGGGCAGCUCUGGGACCAGGCUUCCCCCACCUUGAGGAGCUCUGCCUCGCCAGCUCCACUUGCAACUUUGUGAGCAACGAUGUCCUGAGUCGCCUGCUCCAUGGCUCCCCCAACUUGCGCCUGCUGGAUCUUCGUGGCUGUGCCCGCAUCACGCCUGCUGGUCUGCGUGAUCUGCCAUGUAAAGGUCAGCUGUCCUGUUUGGUGGCUGGGCAGGUGGGAUGUGGGGACCCUUGCUUCUCCUGUGGCCAACACCAUUCCUGUCACCUCAGAGCUGGAGCAGCUGCACUGGGGCCUGUAUGGUGUGUCUGACCGGCUGUCUCUAGCUAAGGAGGGCAGCACCCUGUUGACUCAGAAGUGGCAUCACACCCUGCGGGAACUGGACUUGAGUGGCCAGGGCUUCAGUGAAAAGGACCUGGAGCAAGCCUUAGCUGCCUUCUCUGGCACCCAUGGAGGCGCCCACCCAGCCCUGUGCUCCCUUAACCUCAGGGGUACCCGGGUUACAGCAAGCACGAUCAGGUUAGCACCCAUCCCCCAGGCCCUUGAAGCUAGUACUGCUUGUGGCCCAGAGCUGGUGUGCCACCUUGCUCAGUACCCCUGAGGUCUGGGAGGGAGUGGAUACUUGGCCUUGGGAACACUAAGGGGGCUGGGUUUGAGCCUAGUUAGCUGUGGGUAGUAGGCCAGGGGUAGAGCAUAGGCAAACAGGGAUCCCUGGCUGAGCCCAGCCUUCUGGGCCUGCAUUUUCCUGGCAGCUGCUUACUUUCCCAUGACUUGCCCUACCCACAGCUCUAUGAUCAGUAGCUGCCCUGGCCUGCUAUACCUCAACCUGGAAUCCUGCCGCUGCCUCCCCAGGGGCCUGAAGCGUGCCUACCGAGGCCUAGAGGAAGUCCAGUGGUGUCUGGAGCAGCUACUCACCAGCCCCUCCUCCUCCAGCUAGGCAGUUCCAGCUCUGCCUGUACCCUUUCCCAGUUUGGGAUGUUUAAACAUUUUGUUACAGUAAAAUAUUUUUAGGAACUCUGUGUGGUCCUUGGGUGGCCCCUUGGGUGAGAAACAGGGUUACAUCUGAUGGAGCACUGUAGGCUGCAGCAGGCAGGAGUCGGUAUGUGGGGGCCCUCUGGAGCCUGACUGGGCUGCACCUGGUCACUGCUGGGUUCACACUUUAGACUGUUGUGUGUCCCACCUCAAGACACUGAGUGAGCUGGGUCAAGCAUGCUGAAAUCCCAGCAGCUGGGGAGGCUGAGCAGAGGGGCAUUACAAGCUUAAAACCAGCCUCAGCAACUUAGACCUUGUCUGAACAAGUAGAAAGGGCUGGGGAUGCUGCUCAGUGGUUAAGCACCCUUGAGUUCAAUCCCUGGUACAAAAAAAAAAAAAAAAAAAAAGGCACUGAGGGAGCUGUCCCUGGGUAUGUCCAACUGUCCACCCCUCAGUGCGGACUGAGUGGCGGUACAGGGAUUGCCAAGUACACGCCCACGGAGAUGGGAUGGUUAACAGAGCAGCCCCUUCUAGAACGUGCCCCAGAACUUCUAGAAUUCCCGUGUGGCUCAGAUGGUACUGAUACCUGGCUUGCUGCCCUAGCACUGCCAGAGAGUGCCUGUUCCUUCUUGGACCGCAGCCCUGGAGGCCUUUUUCUCCCGGGUAUGCGCACGACUGCGGGUACUGGGCGAUGUCAGUGAACUGGCCGCCAGGAUGACCACCUCUACCUGACAGGUUCCCAAGGGCCGGGGCAGUGGCCUGCCCACGACCUCUGCCGGAAGUCCCUUCCAUCUCUGGGCCCUGGGAUUUUUGUGCACAGAGCGCCACCUGGCCAAGCGCCUCAAGAACAACGGCUUUUACCCGUUCACGCAGCAGCAGCCAGGCGGUGCGUGGGUGGGGCGGGGCCUCAGCCCGGCGCAGGGGCGCAGGGGCCGGGCGGGUACAAAGCCCUGGCACUGCCCACCCACCACCGCCACACCACACCCUCCCCACCCCUUGUCCUCACACGCACUGCCGGUCCACCUACAGUCUUCGUGCUUGAGUACUACCUGGACACACUCUGGAAGGGACUGCUGCUCUUUUUCGUCUGCCUGGUCCUGGUCUGCUCCGGCUUUGUGAGACAGGUCCGAGUCCUGGAUCCCACCCCCAUGACCCUUAUCCCCUGAGGGCCGGACCAAGCUGUUCCUUGCACCCUGCAGCCCUAGCCUGCAGCCUCUGGUUUGGUUCCUGGUACCUGCAGGUGGAAAAGCAGGAGACCUGGGGCUUCCCUGCCUAUGGCAUGGUCGUGGGCCUGUGGCUUAUGAUCUCAUCGUUGCCGCGGCGCCGCCUGGUGCUGAACCACAUGCGUGGCAUGUACCACUUCUCCAUCCAGGGACGCACCGUGUGCCAGGGGUCCAUGCAUCUGGUCUACGNGGGGGUAAAUAUAGCUUGAGUGGCUGGGGGGCAGGGUUGGGGACACCUAAGGGCCUGGCACCACGACCUGUUUAUACACUCCCACAGCAAAUGGAGUACCUGGGCCGUUACAUCGCUAGGAAACUCAACAUCAAUUACUUCGACUAUCUGGCUACCUCCUACCGACAUGUGGUCCGUCACUGGCCUCUGGGGGCCUCCUUUAGCCCAGGCAUCAUUCUUCGCAAGAAAGGCGUCUACAGCAGGCCAAGCAGCUCUCAGUCUGACCUGGAGGUGUGACCCUGGGCCUGCCCCCUACAGUUAUGGUCCCAUCCCCUACAUCCUCCCAUCCUGCCUGUAGCUCAUUCCAUCCCUGCCCUUAGGUGGACUCAGGCCAGUCUGCUCACUGGUCUUUCUCUGAAUAGAGCUGCCUCUAGCUUCCACCAAGUUAUUUUUGUCUGUCUGGUGGGGGGAGUCCCUUCAGAGUCUUCCCCUAGUGCAGGCUUCUCAGGGCCUCAGGACCCUGUCCUCUCCAGAGGCUGCAGCAAACCCCAGAGCAGGGAUUAGAAGAGGAGAGUACGUGUAGCUGAGACUCAAGGAGGCUGAUGAUCACUGGACAGGCUUAGGACUGUCGCCCCUCUUGGCCAGCAGCACUUAACUGGUCCUGCCUGGCUACAGUGGGAUCCAGGAGCCAGAAUCUGACUGGUCCAGUCUGGCUAGGUGCUAUGGACGUGGCAGAGCCAGGGAGGACAAGCCCUCAGGUAUGGGUGCACCCUGAACUGCAGUGCAGAGAUAUUGUUGCACACUUCCUAGGGAAUAGCCUCCAGAGUCCUCCCCUAGGGUGAAAGACCUCUCUGGGCAUGCUGGAACCCCCUUGCCCAGCAGAGCACCCCAGCUUCUGCUUCAGGCAUCUGAUGCCUCCUGGGUGCUGGGACUGCUUGGGAGCAGAGAAGGCGGUAGGCUCAUACAUCCAGGAGGAGUGGUGCUUUUCAUGAGCAUGUGCUCUCUGUUCUGCUUUUUUUUUUGGGGGGGGGGUACUAGGGAUUGAACUCAGGGGCACUUGACCACUGGGCCACAUCCUCAGCCCUAUUUGUUAUUUUAUUUAGAGACAGGGUCUGGCUGAAUUGCUUAGCGCCUCGCUUUUGCCGAGUCUGGCUUUGAACUCAUGAUCCUCCUAUCCUCCUGAGCUGCUGGGAUUACAGGCAGUGCCACUGGGCCCAACUCUGUUCAGCUUGUUUUUGACUCAGGGCUUGGGCAUUGUGUCCCUGGAACCCAGGACCAGCUACUUAAUUUGUAGGGUUCCAGACAAUGUGGAGACGUGUGGUUCCAUGGUAGAGCACAUUUUUAGUACCUAGGUAACCCUGGGUUCAGUCCUCAGCACUCCAAAAUAAAGAGGGAGAGGGCCAGGGGAAGGAACCUGGGGUUGAGAGACCCCCACAGCUAGUCCUUGCAGUGGGAAAUCACUGGGGAUUGUGAGCAGAGAGGCCCUAUGAUCCAGGAAAAGAGUGAUCAGGAAGAUCCAGAGACUGUAGGAAUUAUGAUUAGAAAGAAGGGACCAGGCAGGUCAGAGAUUCUGCUGAAAAGCAAAGCCCACAGAGUUUUCUGGCUGGAUAUGGGCUGAGAAGCCAAGCAAUUCCCUGGGACAGCAGGGUGUGUCACCUGGGCUAGUGGCCAUGGGAGGCUGGGCUGGGAAUUGGAGUUCUGAGCUAGGAGGUACUGUUUAUUUUGUGGUGAUGGGGAUCAACCUCAGGGCCUUACACAAGUUAGUCAAGUACUCACCCUCUGUGUUUAGUUAGUCAUAUGGUCACACAGAACAGACUGUAUUUUCCAGUCUCUGCCGCAGAUCCAUACAGGUGUUUGUAAAAGUCAUUCCUGGCCCAUGCAGUACAAUAAAUGUAUGUGAUUUCCAAAA
rnacentral:lncRNA from 1 species